AGCGAACGCUGGCGGCGUGCCUAACACAUGCAAGUCGAACGUGAAAAGGGAAACCUGAGUAAAGUGGCGUACGGGUGAGUAACGCGUAGGUAAUCUACCCCAGAAUCUGGAAUAACCUGCCGAAAGGCGGGCUAAUACUGGAUAGAGCGAGGGAACUCGUAAGAGAGUUUUUCGGGAAAGGGAGCCCGCAAGGGCCUUCGUUCUGGGAUGAGCCUGCGUCUCAUUAGCUAGUUGGUAAGGUAACGGCUUACCAAGGCGAUGAUGAGUAGCUGGUCUGAGAGGAUGAUCAGCCACACUGGAACUGAAACACGGUCCAGACUCCUACGGGAGGCAGCAGUGGGGAAUCUUGCGCAAUAGACGAAAGUCUGACGCAGCCACGCCGCGGGAGUGAAGAAGGCCGUCGGGUUGUAAAGCUCUGUCGGAUGGGACGAACAUCUUCAUAGUGAAUAGCUAUGAGGACUGACGGUACCACCAAAGGAAGCACCGGCUAACUCCGUG
rnacentral:rRNA from 1 species